UACAGAGGUCUCAAGCGUUGUUCGGAUUCAUUGGGCGUAAAGGGUCUGUAGGUGGUUGUUCAAGUCUGCUGUUAAAGCGUCCGGCUUAACCAGAUAAAGGCGGUGGAAACUGAACGACUAGAGUGCGGUAGGGGUAGAGGGAAUUCCCAGUGUAGCGGUGAAAUGCGUAGAUCUUGGGAAGAACACCUGUGGCGAAAGCGCUCUACUGGACCGCGACUGACACUGAUGGACGAAAGCUAGGGGAGCGAAUGGG
rnacentral:rRNA from 1 species